UACAAAGAACAUCGAUCUCAAUUAGGUUCCCUGAAGGGGGGAGCGAUUCCCACAUGGUCUGAAGCCCGAUGUCCUUGUUCGUGAUACGGAUCGCAUGAUCGAGAGGUGGUACUCAUGGGAGUUCUUAUGCAGUAGAAUUUGGUCUCUUCCAAGGGAAAUUUGUGGCAUUUUUGGAUGGCAGCUACCUCCAGUUCUGAUACGUUUUGCUCCAGGCAGCAGAUGAGAUUCUGUGGGUGAGAUCAUCUGAACCAUAUCGCAUUCCUUAUCAAUGAUUUCCUUUGCACUUCCAAGGGAGAAAUCCAGAGAGGAUUUCCGGGGUUUUUGCGAGAAUGUUACAGGUUGGUAGAAAUCACAUACCAUAUCCACCCAUGGGAUUGAACCUUUUAAGGAUGGCUGUAUCCACCACAGGUCCACAAGUGACAUUGUGAUCAGCCUCUACAGAUUGGCUCCGAAGCUCCAGAACAACUGGGUCUCCCUCACCUGCCAUACGCCCUAGACUGCAAGCAUGACUCUCCCAGGAUUUUCUCCCAUAUUUUCCUUCAACUAAGAACACUGAGGAUUUAUAAAACCAGCUGUCAACAAAAGACACAUUGAGCACAGCAGCAGGAGCUUUGCAGCUUCCGUUGACUGAAGUUAUCGAAAACGUAAGGAUGUACUGCGCAUAAAUUGAGGCAGCGAUAUGCUGGGGCCUGCAGUCACAUAGUACACGGUGCCGUCGAAGGACCAGCCGGGGAUAGUGUUGUUCUUGGAUAGAGGCAGGAGGGGAGUGCUGGAGUUUGGCUUGAUAUUUGAUGGAGGGAAUUCAAAGUUUCCAUUCUGCAGCAAAGCUGUUUGUGGAAUGAAAAUGGCAGCUUACCGUCCAAGCAUUUGGUUAGUAACCAUGAGAAGUUUAGGGAGGAUUAGAACUGCACCUGCAGAUGCUGCCGCCACCGCAGCUAAUAGGAUCAAGAAAAUUUUUUCAAGCAGUCUCAUUGUUGAGGAUGAAGCAGUGGAGGUUACGAUGGUUUUCACGAGAUGAAUCUGAUUCAAUAACGGGUUGCUGAGCUUUGCUGGUCUUCUUUCUUUCUUUGAUCAGAUUCAACCAAACAAUGCUCCUCCAGUAUUCCCCAAUGAAACAACAACGGCUUUGACUGGAAUGAAGAACUUGGUGUGUGCGCUUUGAUCUUUGGGGUCGAGUCCUUUUUGCUGAUGUCUAAAAGAGUACGUUGACAUCGUUGGAGAUACAGAAACUUGAUCCAUAUCCUUCGUCAUAGUCAACGUCUGAGACAAAACGAGGCAGCAAUAAUUGACCGUUGACUUUUUUUUUUUUUGGGGUGAGAUACGUAACGUAUCUCAUCUCAGCAUCUCUCGUUCCUAUCUUAAAGGUCUUCUUACUGGAAUCUUUUGGCAAGUUGAACUAAUGAGGUCACCGGGUCGCUUAGUUCGAUCACAAAACAACGCAAGCGUAGCUGUAUCUCCAACUUGACUAUAUACAAACUGCUUAAUUUUUCUGA